rnacentral:rRNA from 1 species
GACGAACGCUGGCGGCGUGCCUAAUACAUGCAAGUAGAACGCUGAAGGAGGAGCUUACUUCUCUGGAUGAGUUGCGAACGGGUGAGUAACGCGUAGGUAACCUGCCUGGUAGCGGGGGAUAACUAUUGGAAACGAUAGCUAAUAGCGCAUAAGGGUAGAUGUUGCAUGCCACUUACUUAAAAGGAGCAAUUGCACCACUACCAGAUGGACCUGCGUUGUAUUAGCUAGUGUGUGGGGUAACGGCUUACCAAGGCGACGAUACAUAGCCCACCUGAGAGGGUGAUCGGCCACACUGGGACUGAGACACGGCCCAGACUCCUACGGGAGGCAGCAGUAGGGAAUCUUCGGCAAUGGACGGAAGUCUGACCGAGCAACGCCGCGUGAGUGAAGAAGGUUUUCGGAUCGUAAAGCUCUGUUGUAAGAGAAGAACGAGUGUGAGAGUGGAAAGUUCACACUGUGGCGGUAUCUUACCAGAAAGGGACGGCUAACUACGUGCCAGCCGCCGCAGUAA